UGGGGAAUAUUGGACAAUGGAGGAAACUCUGAUCCAGCAAUUCCGUGUGUGUGAAGAAGGUUUUAGGACUGUAAAACACUUUUAGUAGGGAAGAAAAAAAUGACGGUACCUACAGAAGAAGCAACGGCUAAAUACGUGCCAGCAGCCGCGGUAAUACGUAUGUUGCGAGCGUUAUCCGGAAUUAUUGGGCUUAAAGGGCAUCUAGGCGGUAAGACAAGUUGAAGGUGAAAACCUGUGGCUCAACCAUAGGCUUGCCUACAAAACUGUUGAACUAGAGUACUGGAAAGGUGGGUGGAACUACACGAGUAGAGGUGAAAUUCGUAGAUAUGUGUAGGAAUGCCGAUGAUGAAGAUAACUCACUGGACAGAAACUGACGCUGAAGUGCGAAAGCUAGGGGAGCAAACAGG
rnacentral:rRNA from 1 species